rnacentral:misc_RNA from 1 species
UCUGGUUAAACACCAGCAGUCCCAUUAGAGUGCCAAACUUAAUUGGGGCAACUAAUGGUAAGGGUUGCGCUCGUUGCGUCACUUAAGACAACAUCUCACGACACGAGCUGACGACAGCCAUGCAGCACCUGUGCUCUGGUUCCCGAAGGCACAAUCUAAUCUCUCAGAUCUUCCAGACAUGUCAAGAGCAGGUAAGGUUUUUCGCGUUGCAUCGAAUUAAUCCACAUCAUCCACCGCUUGUGCGGGUCCCCGUCAAUUCCUUUGAGUUUUAAUCUUGCGACCGUACUCCCCAGGCGGUCUACUUCUCACGUUAGCUUCGCUACUAAGGUUUUACCCCCAACAGCAAGUAGACAUCGUUUAGGGCGUGGACUAC